GUGCACUAUAUAGGGAACAGGGUUCUAUAGGGCCCUGGUCUAAAGUAGUGUACUAUAUAGGGAAUAGGGUUCUAUAGGGCUCUGGUCUAAAGUAGUGCACUAUAUAGGGAAUAGGGUUCUAUAGGGCUCUGGUCUAAAGUAGUGUACUAUAUAGGGAAUAGGGUUCUAUAGGGCUCUGGUCUAAAGUAGUGCACUAUAUAGGGAAUAGGGUUCUAUAGGGCUCUGGUCUAAAGUAGUGUACUAUAUAUAGGGAAUAGGGUUCUAUAGGGCUCUGGUCUAAAGUAGUGUACUAUAUAGGGAAUAGGGUUCUAUAGGGCUCUGGUCUAAAGUAGUGUACUAUAUAGGGAAUAGGGUUCUAUAGGGCUCUGGUCUAAAGUAGUGCACUAUAUAGGGAAUAGGGUUCUAUAGGGCUCUGGUCUAAAGUAGUGUACUAUAUAGGGAAUAGGGUUCUAUAGGGCUCUGGUCUAAAGUAGUGUACUAUAUAGGGAAUAGGGUUCUAUAGGGCUCUGGUCUAAAGUAGUGCACUAUAUAGGGAAUAGGGUUCUAUAGGGCUCUGGUCUAAAGUAGUGUACUAUAUAGGGAAUAGGGUUCUAUAGGGCUCUGGUCUAAAGUAGUGUACUAUAUAGGGAAUAGGGUUCUAUAGGGCUCUGGUCUAAAGUAGUGCACUAUAUAG